UUUUGUUUUUGGACAUCAUGACGCAAGUUUUAGUGAAAUUGCUCUAUGAUGAUAAGUGGGAUGUUUAUCCGUUGAAGACGUUUGCUGACGCAGCUACUGGUCUUCGGGUGAUGUUCGAGCCUGGCAGUUUUGAUGAGUUGCGCGGCAGAAUUCAUGAUGGAAGGAAGGCGAACAAAGCCGCAGUCUGACUUCUGCACACAGGCAAACCGCAUGCCCUGGAGCGAAAGCGCGCGAAGCUAGCGCUUGCUGCCGCCGCUGCUUCGAUUGAAAUGUUCGUAAUAUUAUCUACUAAUUUGCUAUCGCAAUCGAUGCUUCGCCUUUGGAGCGACACUGCGAUAUUAAAAAAAAUAUUCUUAAUCUGUAGUGGCUCAUCGUAUACCUUAAGGCUAGUGUGCACAUUUUCUCGCGUAGUCGUUAACUGCGCCUCUAUUUGCGUUGUGGCUAAUGUCGCGGUGUGCUGCAAAAUAUAUUUCGCCUUUUCGGUAUGUGCGGAGAACAGCCUACCGAUAAGUCCUGCAUCGGCGCGAUGAUUACACGGAUACACAUCGUAAAUGAACAGUGGCGUGGUGGCGACGUCGGCAAAGCCGCCGACGGGCUUGCCUUAUCACACAUCGCCACCCCAACCGCAGUAAGCAUAUUUAUCAAACGUGACGUGUUGCCGUUUAAGGCGUACUGCACGCUUUUAAUAGGCGAUAACUCAAGCGCGCCGCCGUUCUCUGAUACCUCUUUGAGCUGGGCCGACUCGAAUGUGCGUUGCUUGCAGAAACGAAAGGAACGCCAGACGGCUCAUCGGCGCCUCAAGCUAAGCGCCGCACUCGAGCACCGUUAGCGCGGCGAGGAAUGGCACGUUCAUGAAGAUAGCUCACUGCACAGACGCAAGCGUGCAAUGCGCACAGGACGCGUACGCAACGCGCGGCACACAAAUCGCGCGGAAUGUUCUUAGCCACGCAGCAGCGGAUACUAAGCUUCAAAGAAGCGGUGCCGGUUCUCACUAGCACGCUCGCGCGCGCAUUGCUCUCGGCGAAUUUUUAGGUCUGCCCUGCUGCUCCCGAAGAUUCGGACUGCUGCUUGGUAUCGGCUGUGUACUAUAGCAUGGUCUUUCGUGUUGUGAGAGAGCCGGGAAUAUAUUUCACCGGUGUGAAACAAACAUCGCUGUGCGUAUCUUUGGUAACAUUUACUGUAACAAUCCAUUUCAUCAUUUUCGCGACGGCCCUCUUGAAAGAGACGCAAAUUUUUAAUUGCCAGUGUAGUGCGUACUAAUAUUUAGUGCGUGGUUAUGUAUAUUGUGUGACAGAUUUUUAAUUUGCAUUAUCUAAUUCUGUCUACAUUCCCUUCUCUACAGGUUACACAUGCACCAAAUGCCCAGGUGCUAACGUGUCGUUCGUCAAGAACAGCUUGGCGUCGUUUCUCGCAAGAGACAUCCAUUGAUCUGCGGCUGAUUCACCAGGAAGCUCGCAUCUCUGUUGCCACUCUGCGUCAAGUGGGAUUUUUAACUAUUUUUUAUUCUGCCCUGUGGUGUACGCUGUGACGCUGUGAAGACUUACUUUCAUGGACGCUGUGAAGGCUUACUUUCGAUGUGUUCUGCCUUUUAGUUGUAAAGAAUUGGCUACCUUGUGAGUGGAGGUAGUUCCUUUUUCUUGUGAGAAUGUUUAUCAGCCUAACCAAGUGGUACAUGCGUACUUGAAACAGCAGCACAGACGAGGAUAAUGAAAUAAGUAGGAACACAUACAAGCGCCGACUCAACUAGAAGUUUAUUCUUGAAGACAGGUUGUAAACACAUUGGAACUUGACAAAGAUAAGAAACCAUGUAUGCGUGGCCUUUGUGAUUAAACAAAAUUGUGUUUUCUGCUGUAAGGGGUAGAACGAACAAUUGUUUCAUCACAAAGACCAGAACACAAGAGAAAUUAUGGAAGCCUUAUUUAUUGAUUGCAAAGAAGACAAAUGCAUAAGCUAUCUGUUGCUCUUAAUGGGAAAGAGUUGGGAUUUUUAAAAGAGCUCUCCUUGUUUGGUGGUAUCACUUAUAGGACAUCUUUCACUGUUUUUUUUACCUGCAUAUUUAUACUACAAAACACGUCUUUCGUUCCUUUUUUUUUGUUGCACCGGGCUGUCUGCCACGCAUGCAUGGCUAUUUCUUUGUCAAGUUGGCCAGUGUGCUUAAUAUCUUUGUCGUCACGAACAAACUUCUAGUUGAGUCAGCAUUAUUGUGUGUUCCUACCUUAUUUCACCGUUCUCAUCUUUGUUUGAGCUGUUUGUAAAGUAUGUACACACACCAAAUUACCAAAGUAUCCGUAAAAUUGAGAUACAUGAAGUUAUUUGCACUAUUCAUUUCUGCAAGAAUGGUAUAGCUUCUCAUCUCGUUUGUUCUUAACGUUGUUGUACAGUUUUUGUAAUAUAUAGCUUGGAAAGACGUUUUCUGUCAGAUUAAAUAUGCAUGUAUGUCACUUUCGAUAUUUUUUUUCAACAUGGGUAGUGCAGCUCCUUCCGUCUUUCAGUUACUGCUUUGUCGCAACUUUUAUAUAUUUUAUGCAGCGAAAUGCUGGUGGAAUUAUAUAUAUUUAUGUGCGCAAGUGUGGUAAAUGGUGUUUUGUAUGUGCAUUUAUUUGCGUUUUUUACUAGCUCUCCAAUCUGGCUGUACAGUUAUUGAAACCUUUUCUCAUGCUUUAUAAUGAGUCGUUCUAGGCUCUUUGAUGAUGCAGGUGACCAUUUAUUUCACUGUUGGGAAUUGCGUUAGCUGUGUGUCACUCCAGUUGUCUGUGUAUUUUAUGUCACUUCAUUAUAUCAUUGAAAGUAUUAGCCUUGCAUUAGCUUUUUAUUGACCGAGGUACCAGUCAGUUGCUGUGUAGGGUGAAAAAGGCCCAAAGAAAUGAUUUCAUUAGCUUUGUUCAAGUCCAGAAAAAAAUUCACUGAUGAGCUCACUAAAUUAGAAAAUGCCACCAGGAAACUCUUCCGCACCCAAAAGUAACACAAGAAAUUAAAUACUGUUCACACUCGAGAGGGAAACAGCGCGAAAAAACUCGACAAGAAGGGAGACACACACCAGCGCUUCUUGUCCCUUCUUGUCUUCUUGUGUUUUUUUGCGCUGUUUCCCUCUCGAGUAUGCACCGACUAGCCCAAGCCUCUACUGUCUUGAAAUACUGUGCAGUUCUUGACUUAUGCCAGGGAGGUAAGCUGCUUUUACAGCACAAAUGUUUUAGAAGUUUACCUCUGAAAAACACGAUUCAGGUGUUUUGUAUAUAUAUACAUGAAGUCAUUUGUUUCCAGUUUACUUGUUAUUUUGCCUACUCACAGGCAGCCGUAAACCCUUCUGUGAGUGUUUACUGGGUGUGUGAAGCAUUUUACUGUAAGGUAUCCAGUGGUCUUCAUUUUUGUAUUUAUGCAUGCAAGCCAAGAGUUCAUGUGUUCAAAGUUAGUUACAAGGGUAUGCUUAAGGUCUGCCUUUGAGUCACUUGACUGUUGUUUUUACAAAAUAUUUUUUUCUGCUGUAAUUGUGAAAUAUAAUUCUUUCUGCUGUAAUAAACUUCAAGUUGAGUGAGCA